AGUGAACGCUGGCGGUAGGCCUAACACAUGCAAGUCGAACGGCAGCACAGUAAGAGCUUGCUCUUACGGGUGGCGAGUGGCGGACGGGUGAGGAAUACAUCGGAAUCUACUUUUUCGUGGGGGAUAACGUAGGGAAGCUUACGCUAAUACCGCAUACGACCUACGGGUGAAAGCAGGGGAUCUUCGGACCUUGCGCGAUUGAAUGAGCCGAUGUCGGAUUAGCUAGUUGGCGGGGUAAAGGCCCACCAAGGCGACGAUCCGUAGCUGGUCUGAGAGGAUGAUCAGCCACACUGGAACUGAGACACGGUCCAGACUCCUACGGGAGGCAGCAGUGGGGAAUAUUGGACAAUGGGCGCAAGCCUGAUCCAGCCAUGCCGCGUGGGUGAAGAAGGCCUUCGGGUUGUAAAGCCCUUUUGUUGGGAAAGAAAAGCAGCAGGUUAAUACCCCGCUGUUCUGACGGUACCCAAAGAAUAAGCACCGGCUAACUUCGUG
rnacentral:rRNA from 1 species